rnacentral:lncRNA from 1 species
CCGCGGGGGCGGCAGAGACCCGCCCCGGCCCGCAGGACACCCCCUCGGAACGCGCGGCCCCCGGCUAAGUCAUGUUUAACAGCCUCAGAAAUUAUCUUGUCUCCGCGUUCUUUCUUCUGCCGGCGAGCCAGUGUCAUUUGUGGAUUAUUAAAGAAACCUCUCCAUACCUGAUGCAUAAAGAUAGUUAAGGGUAGCUGAAAUACAACAUCAUAAUUUUUACUGGAAAAUAGCCACAAUGAAGGAACACCACAAUUUCACCAUGAAAACCAGCACAACCUUAC